AGGGAAUCUUCGGCAAUGGACGAAAGUCUGACCGAGCAACGCCGCGUGAGUGAAGAAGGUUUUCGGAUCGUAAAACUCUGUUGUUAGAGAAGAACGUUGCAUAGAGUGGAAAAUUAUGCAAGUGACGGUAUCUAACCAGAAAGGGACGGCUAACUACGUGCCAGCAGCCGCGGUAAUACGUAGGUCCCGAGCGUUGUCCGGAUUUAUUGGGCGUAAAGCGAGCGCAGGUGGUUUAAUAAGUCUGAUGUAAAAAGGCAGUGGCUCAACCAUUGUGUGCAUUGGAAACUGUUAGACUUGAGUGCAGUAGAGGAGAGUGGAAUUCCAUGUGUAGCGGUGAAAUGCGUAGAUAUAUGGAGGAACACCGGUGGCGAAAGCGGCUCUCUGGACUGUCACUGACACUGAGGCUCGAAAGCGUGGGUAGCAAACAGGAUUAGAUACCCUGGUAGUCCACGCCGUAAACGAUGAGUGCUAGUUGUUUGGGGCUAUCCAGCCCUA
rnacentral:rRNA from 1 species